UCCUGGUUAACCCAGGCAGUCUCAUUAGAGUUCCCACCCUAAGUGUUGGCAACUAAUGAUAAGGGUUGCGCUCGUUGCGGGACUUAACCCAACACCUCACGGCACGAGCUGACGACAGCCAUGCAGCACCUGUGCAGCGGUCCUUUCGGAAGGCGACAUCUCUGCCGCUGUCCACUGCAUGUCAAAUCUGGGUAAGGUUCUUCGCGUUGCAUCGAAUUAAACCACAUGCUCCACUGCUUGUGCGGGCCCCCGUCAAUUCUUUUGAGUUUCACCCUUGCGAGCGUACUCCUCAGGCGGUAUACUUAUCGCGUUAGCUUCGACACAACUGGGGUUGAGACCAGUUACAUCAAGUAUACAUCGUUUAUGGCAAGGACUAC
rnacentral:misc_RNA from 1 species